rnacentral:rRNA from 1 species
UGCAGUCGAGCGAUGAUGAGGAGCUUGCUCCUCUGAUUUAGCGGCGGACGGGUGAGUAACACGUGGGUAAUCUGCCUGUAAGACGGGGAUAACUCCGGGAAACCGGGGCUAAUACCGGAUAAUAAGAGAAGAAGCAUUUCUUCUUUUUGAAAGUCGGUUUCGGCUGACACUUACAGAUGAGCCCGCGGCGCAUUAGCUAGUUGGUGAGGUAACGGCUCACCAAGGCGACGAUGCGUAGCCGACCUGAGAGGGUGAUCGGCCACACUGGGACUGAGACACGGCCCAGACUCCUACGGGAGGCAGCAGU